GCCUAGUGCCAUAUAUAGCCUAGUGGACAUGGCAUCUGCCCGGUAAGCGGAACACUGUGGGUUCGAUUCCCAUUCCUGGACA